rnacentral:rRNA from 1 species
GAUGAACGCUGGCGGCGUGCCUAAUACAUGCAAGUAGAACGUCCAAGCUGGGUGCUUGCACCGUGCGGGCGAGUUGCCAAAGGGCGAGUAACGCGUAGGUAACCUGCCUCCUAGCGGGGGACAACUACUGGAAACGAUAGCUAAUACCGCAUAAAAGUCGAUACCGCUUGAUCUUGAUUCGAAAGGCGCAAAUGCAUCACCAAGAGAUGGACCUGCGUUGGAUUCGCUAGUUGGUGAGGUAACGGCACACCUAUGCGACGGUACACAGCCGAUCUGAGAGGGUGAUCGGGCCCACUGGGACUGGGAAACGGCCCGGACUCCUGCGGGAGGGAACAGUAGGGAAUCGUCGGCAAUGGGGGCAAACCUGACCGAACCACGCGGCGUGAGUGAAGAAGGUGUUCGGAUCGUAAAGCACUGUUGUAAGUGAAGAACGAGUGUGGGAGUGGAAAGUGCCAUCUGUGACGGUACCUUACCAGAAGCGGACGACUAUCUACGU